rnacentral:rRNA from 1 species
GUAAGGGAAUCUUCCGCAAUGGACGAAAAGGUCUGACGAAGCCACGCCGCGUGAGGUGAUGAAGGAUUUUCGGAUCGUAAAACUCUGUGUAAGGGAAGAACAAAGUACCCGUUCGAAUAGGGCGGCACUUGACGGUACCUAACCCAGAAAGCCACGGGCUAACUACGUGCCCAGCAGCCGCGGUAAUACGUAGGUGGCAAGCGUUGUCCGGAAUUAUUGGGCGUAAAGCGCGCGCAGGCGGUUUCUUAAGUCUGAUGUGAAAGCCCCCGGCUCAACCGGGGAGGGUCAUUGGAAACUGGGGAACUUGAGUGCAGAAGAGGAGAGUGGAAUUCCACGUGUAGCGGUGAAAUGCGUAGAGAUGUGGAGGAACACCAGUGGCGAAGGCGACUCUCUGGUCUGUAACUGACGCUGAGGCGCGAAAGCGUGGGGAGCGAACAGGAUUAGAUACCCUGGUAGUCCACGCCGUAAACGAUGAGUGCUAAGUGUUAGAGGGUUUCCGCCCUUUAGUGCUGCAGCAAACGCAUUAAGCACUCCGCCUGGGGAGUACGGUCGCAAGACUGAAACUCAAAGGAAUUGACGGGGGCCCGCACAAGCGGUGGAGCAUGUGGUUUAAUUCGAAGCAACGCGAAGAACCUUACCAGGUCUUGACAUCCUCUGACAACCCUAGAGAUAGGGCUUCCCCUUCGGGGGCAGAGUGACAGGUGGUGCAUGGUUGUCGUCAGCUCGUGUCGUGAGAUGUUGGGUUAAGUCCCGCAACGAGCGCAACCCUUGAUCUUAGUUGCCAGCAUUCAGUUGGGCACUCUAAGGUGACUGCCGGUGACAAACCGGAGGAAGGUGGGGAUGACGUCAAAUCAUCAUGCCCCUUAUGACCUGGGCUACACACGUGCUACAAUGGGCAGAACAAAGGGCAGCGAAGCCGCGAGGCUAAGCCAAUCCCACAAAUCUGUUCUCAGUUCGGAUCGCAGUCUGCAACUCGACUGCGUGAAGCUGGAAUCGCUAGUAAUCGCGGAUCAGCAUGCCGCGGUGAAUACGUUCCCGGGCCUUGUACACACCGCCCGUCACACCACGAGAGUUUGUAACACCCGAAGUCGGUGAGGUAACCUUGAGCCAGCCGCCGAGCUUAACAGUC